GCGAACGUCGGGUGCGGAGGCGAGGGAAUACGAAGGGGGGGAGGGUUGGGCUGAAUGCCUGGGCGUAAAGGGCUUGUAGGCGGUUGACACAGUCAGAUGUGAAAGCCGCGGGCUUAACCUGGGAGCUGCAUUUGAUACGUGUAGACUAGAGUGUGAGAGAGGGUUGUGGAAUUCCCAGUGUAGAGGUGAAAUUCGUAGAUAUUGGGAAGAACACCGGUGGCGAAGGCGGCAACCUGGCUCAUUACUGACGCUGAGGCGCGAAAGCGUGGGGAGCAAACAGGAUUAGAUACCCCAGUAGUC
rnacentral:rRNA from 1 species